GAUGGUUGGCCUAACAGGGAAACAGGUGUAAAUCCUGUACAGUUCCCGCUGCUGUAAGCUCAUUGGAUGCUUUUGAAACCUAGGGUCACUUUUCCUGCCGGCGCAGGAGGGGGAAGGCCUCAAAAGUGAGUUAAGUCAGAAGACCUGCCACUGUUAAUU
rnacentral:ncRNA from 1 species